UACGUAGGGGGCAAGCGUUAUCCGGAUUUACUGGGUGUAAAGGGAGCGUAGACGGCGAUGCAAGCCAGAUGUGAAAGCCCGGGGCUCAACCCCGGGACUGCAUUUGGAACUGUGCUGCUAGAGUGUCGGAGAGGCAGGCGGAAUUCCUAGUGUAGCGGUGAAAUGCGUAGAUAUUAGGAGGAACACCAGUGGCGAAGGCGGCCUGCUGGACGAUGACUGACGUUGAGGCUCGAAAGCGUGGGGAGCAAACAGG
rnacentral:rRNA from 1 species